AGCGGGUUUUCAUCGCAGUGAUAUGACGCAUUCAAACCAUUUCUUAUCACCGGGUGUCAAUCAGCUAG
rnacentral:pre_miRNA from 1 species